CCUUCUGAACAUCUGUGGAGAUUUGAAUGUGUAUUACAGGGUAACUUGGCAUUCAUGGAAGGCAAAUUUGAGACAUACUUAUUUCAACAUGCCAUGGACAGAAAUUUCAGUUAUUGUAGCAGUUGUGCUGCUUGUUCUUACAUUCUUACAAACCAUAUAUACUAUCAAAUCUGUUAUUUGAAAUUAAAUCUGCUACUCUGAUCGAUUGCUUGUGUAUUCAACAUUGGUGGUUUUGUCCUGGUGCUGGAAUGAUUCGAUUUAUGAAAUGUGGUGGUAACAUGAAGAAUUUGCAUUCAUGAUUCGUUUUUCACCCGCAACAAGCAUCAUCACUGAACAGAAGUCCUUUGGCAGUAGGUGUGGCAAUGGGCCCCAAGAGAAGGAUUUCUUGAUUAUCUUGAGUUCGUAUCAUCUU